rnacentral:rRNA from 1 species
CCUAAGGUAGCGAAAUUCCUUGUCGGGUAAGUUCCGACCCGCACGAAAGGCGUAAUGAUUUGAGCACUGUCUCGACAAUGCAUCCGGUGAAAUUGAAGUACCAGUGAAGAUGCUGGUUACCCGCGCCAGGACGGAAAGACCCCAUGGAGCUUUACUCCAGUUUGAUACUGGGAUUCGGUACUGCAUGUACAGGAUAGGUGGGAGACGAAGAAGGAUGGACGCCAGUCUGUCCGGAGUCGCUGUUGGGAUACCACCCCUGUAGUACUGGGUUUCUAACCAGUUGCCAUGAACUGGCAAUGGGACAAUGUCAGGCGGGGAGUUUGACUGGGGCGGUCGCCUCCGAAAGGGUAUCGGAGGCGCUCAAAGGUUCCCUCAGAAUGGUUGGAAACCAUUCGAAGAGUGCAAAGGCAGAAGGGAGCUUGACUGCGACACCGACGGGUGGAGCAGGUACGAAAGUAGGACUUAGUGAUCCGGUGGUAUAAAGUGGGAUUGCCAUCGCUCAACGGAUAAAAGCUACCCUGGGGAUAACAGGCUUAUCACUCCCAAGAGUUCACAUCGACGGAGUGGUUUGGCACCUCGAUGUCGGCUCAUCGCAUCCUGGGGCUGUAGUAGGUCCCAAGGGUUGGGCUGUUCGCCCAUUAAAGCGGUACGCGAGCUGGGUUCAGAACGUCGUGAGACAGUUCGGUCCCUAUCUGUCGUGGGCGCAGGAUAUUUGAAAGGCGCUGUCCCUAGUACGAGAGGACCGGGAUGGACGAACCUCUGGUGCACCAGUUGUCACGCCAGUGGCACAGCUGGGCAGCUAUGUUCGGAUCGGAUAAACGCUGAAAGCAUCUAAGCGUGAAGCCGGCCUUAAGAUAAGAUAUCCCACUGAGUCAAUCAGGUAAGACCCCUUGAAGACUACAAGGUUGAUAGGCACACAGUGUAAGCGGAGUGAUCCGUUCAGCUAGCGUGUACUAAUAGGUCGAGGGCUUGACCCC